UACCGAGGUCCCGAGCGUUGUUCGGAUUCAUUGGGCGUAAAGGGUGCGUAGGCGUCGGGGCAAGUCUGAUGUGAAAUCCCGGGGCUCAACCCCGGAACUGCAUUGGAUACUGCCUUGCUCGAGUACUGGAGAGGGAACUGGAAUUUACGGUGUAGCAGUGAAAUGCGUAGAGAUCGUAAGGAAGGCCAGGGGCGAAGGCGAGUUCCUGGACAGUUACUGACGCUGAGGCACGAAGGCCAGGGGAGCAAACGGG
rnacentral:rRNA from 1 species